rnacentral:tRNA from 1 species
GCGAGAGUGGCGGAAUCGGCAGACGCGCUGGACUUAGGAUCCAGUGGUUCAAACCGUGGGGGUUCGAAUCCCCCCUCUCGCACCA